AGUGGAUGGGGAGCAACCUAGUUGUGCGUGUGUAAAGGUAGUGCCAAGAAAAGCGAUGAUCAUGUUGAAAAUCAAUUCCCGGUACCCGAAACCGACACAGGUGGGCAAGUAGAGAAUACUAAGGGGCGCGAGGUAACUCUCUCCAAGGAACUCGGCAAAAUGACCCCGUAACUUAGGGAGAAGGGGUGCCACCGAGAGGUGGUCGCAGUGAAGAGGCCCAGGCGACUGUUUAGCAAAAACAUAGGUCUCUGCAAACUCGAAAGAGGAGGUAUAGGGGCUGACGCCUGCCCAGUGCCGGAAGGUUAAAGAAGUUGGUCAGUUUUAGGAUGAAGCUAGCGACUGAAGCCCCGGUGAACGGCGGCCGUAACUAUAACGGUCCUAAGGUAGCGAAAUUCCUUGUCGGGUAAUUUCCGACCCGCACGAAAGGCGUAACGAUCUGGGCGCUGUCUCGGAGAGAGGCUCGGCGAAAUAGGAUUGUCUGUGAAGAUACGGACUACCUGCAUUUGGACAGAAAGACCCUAUGAAGCUUUACUAUAGCUUGGAAUUGUGUUCGGGCUUCCUGUGCGCAGGAUAGGUGGGAGGCGUAGAAGGUAUUCUUGUGGGGAUACUGGAGCCAACGGUGAGAUACCACUCUCAGGAGGCUAGAAUUCUAACUUAAUUAAGGACAGUUUCAGGUGGGUAGUUUGACUGGGGCGGUCGCCUCCAAAAAGGUAACGGAGGCGUACAAAGGUUCCCUCAGACUGGUUGGAAAUCAGUCGAAGAGUGCAAAGGCAGAAGGGAGCUUGACUGCGAGAAGUACAGUUCGAGCAGGGUGGAAACACGGUCUUAGUGAUCCGACGGUGCUGUGUGGAAGGGCCGUCGCUCAACGGAUAAAAGUUACUCUAGGAUAACAGGCUGAUCUCCCCCAAGAGUUCACAUCGACGGGGAGGUUUGGCACCUCGAUGUCGGCUCAUCGCAACCUGGGGCGGAAGUACGUCCCAAGGGUUGGGCUGUUCGCCCAUUAAAGCGGUACGUGAGCUGGGUUCAGAACGUCGUGAGACAGUUCGGUCCAUAUCCGAUGUAGGCGUGAGAAUAUUGAGAGGAGCCUUCCUUAGUACGAGAGGACCGGGAAGGACGCACCGCUGGUGUACCUGUUAUGAUGCCAAUUGUAAACGCAGGGUAGCCAAGUGCGGAGAGGAUAACCGCUGAAAGCAUCUAAGUGGGAAGCCCACCUCAAGAUGAGUAUUCUGGUGUAAGGUCACGGGAAGACGACCCGUAAAUAGGCACGAGGUGGAAGUGCAGAGAUGUAUGAAGCCGAAGUGUACUAAUAGACCGUCGGCUUGAC
rnacentral:rRNA from 1 species